UCCUAUAAAACUUUAUUUCUGGACCCUGAAACUUGAAUUUCAUGUAAUGUUCAUGUGUUACAAAAUAUCCUUCUUUGGUUUUUUCUUCCA